CCUACGCGUGGCUGCAGUGAGGAAUAUUGGUCAAUGGACGAGCGUCUGCACCAGCCAAGUAGCGUGAAGGAUGACUGCCCUAUGGGUUGUAAACUUCUUUUAUAUGGGAAUAAAAUGUUCCACGUGUGGGAUUUUGUAUGUACCAUAUGAAUAAGGAUCGGCUAACUCCGUGCAAGCAGCCGCGGUAAUACGGAGGAUGCGAGCGUUAUCCGGAUUUAUUGGGUUUAAAGGGUGCGUAGGCGGGUUAUCAAGUCAGCGGUAAUAUCGUGGAGCUCAACUCCAUCCAGCCGGUGAUACUGAUGAUCGUGAGUGGGCGAGAAGUAUGCGGAAUGCGUGGUGUAGCGGUGAAAUGCAUAGAUAUCACGCAGAACUCCGAUUGCGAAGGCAGCAUACCGGCGCCCGACUGACGCUGAAGCACGAAAGCGUGGGUAUCGAACAGGAUUAGAUACCCGAGUAGUC
rnacentral:rRNA from 1 species